CAGCAGCCACGGUAAUACGAAGGGGGCUAGCGUUGCACGGAAUGACUGGGCGUAAAGGGCGCGUAGGCGGCGGCCAAAGUCAGGCGUGAAAUUCCCGGGCUCAACCUGGGGGCUGCGUUUGAUACUUGGUUGCUUGAGUGGGGAAGAGGGUCGUGGAAUUCCCAGUGUAGAGGUGAAAUUCGUAGAUAUUGGGAAGAACACCGGUGGCGAAGGCGGCGACCUGGUCCUUUACUGACGCUGAGGCGCGAAAGCGUGGGGAGCAAACAGGAUUAGAUACCCCAGUAGUCCCUGUCUCUUAUAC
rnacentral:rRNA from 1 species